UACAGAGGGGGCAAGCGUUAUUCGGAAUUAUUGGGCGUAAAGGGCGCGUAGGCGGCCGUGCAAGUGGAAGGUGAAAUCCCUCGGCCUAACCGAGGAACUGCGCUUGAAACUACCAGACUCGAGGGAGAUAGAGGAAAGCGGAACUGAUGGUGGAGCGGUGAAAUGCGUUGAUAUCAUCAGGAACACCGGUGGCGAAGGCGGCUUUCUGGGUCUUACCUGACGCUGAGGAACGAAAGCCAGGGGAGCGAACGGG
rnacentral:rRNA from 1 species